rnacentral:hammerhead_ribozyme from 1 species
AUCCAGUCGAAGAGUCCUAAAUAGGACGAAAUGCACAUCCUGAAU